GGCACUAACUUUAAAAUAUAGGGACUAAACGAGCUUUUACCCUUUUUUUUUUUAUCGACUCUUUAUCAACACGUGAAUUUCUGUUUAAAAAAGUUUAAAUUAUGAGAGAAUUUGAAUUUACAUUACAUAAUAUAUAAUUUUUAAGAUAAAUUAAAUUUAUGAAUUUUUAUUUAUUAUUAAAAUCAAACGUGUGCACAAAUAGAUCAUAUGACCUUUUCUAUGACAUGAAUUAAGAAAAGUCAAUAUGCACAACAAGAAGUGUUAGGCUGAUAAUUUCACAUGGCUUUAAAAAUCUUAUAGGGCACUUAUUAAUUCACCAAUGAAUUUGUGGUUCACCAACCAUUUCUUGCACCAUCUUGAAGGCUCAAAAAGAUAAAGAGCAGAUUAUAUAUGCAGCUUAAAUUUUCAACAUCUAGAAAUAUUUUUAAAAAAAGAAUACACUAGUACAGUGGCAAUCUCAUCUCCUUUCUUAAAUUUUAGUUGAUACCAUGAUGACAUAUUCUGCUUCCACGUUCAAGUAAUUAAUAGUUGGCCCUGGUAUGUUUUACAACUCUCAAAGUUAGUUGUAAAUUGAAUGAAAGCCACCGUAGUUCUGACUCCUUUUAAUACUACUUCACAUAUUUAUUUAUAUGCAUUGACUGAGAUGUCAUUGCAAAGUUCGUGAUUUUAAGGAAAUAAAUAAAAUUCAGUCUUAUUAAUUUGUUGUGGCCCAUAAGCCAAUUUAUAAAAAAAAGCCAAAAUUUAAUAGAAGUAAAUAAUCAAUAAAAUAUUUUGUGAUUCAUUUCUAUAUAUAUUUACACAUAACAGUUAUGAUUCUUAUCAUAAGUGAAUGGCAUAAUGUUCAAAGGCAACCUUCUUGUCAAUUUGUAUGUGACAAUAGUCAUUUAUGUAUUACAUAACACUCUAUUCUUCCGUAUGUAUAUGUCAUCUUAAUAGUUUUAAUCCUUACAAUGUGCAUUUGAUAAUGAUUUUGAUCAUUAUAUAUAUGUGUAGGAUCCCCCUAAGUUACAUGCAUGUAACUUAGCAUUAGCCAUAUGUGUAUCACAUAACGAUUUGAUCUGUUUCAUAAAUGCAUAUCAUAAUAGGCUUAAUUCAUAAGGGUUUUUUUUUUUUUUAAAUUCCUAUCAUUCCCUCAAGUUGGAGUGCGAAAACUUGGUUCUUCUUGCACUUUUGUUUUAAGAACAAAUUAUGUCUAUCUCUAACACACCAUCAUGCUAUGUAGCUUCUCAUCAACAUGGUGGCUCUAUAUCUAACAUAUGAUCUGAGAACUAGGGUUAAGGUGAUCUUUUCAUCUCUCAACUCAAAAUUGAUGAAGAUAUAUCAUAAUAGGAUUAUAAUUAUCUGUCCCUAUAAGAUAAAGAAGACUUAUCAUAAUAAGGUUAGAAUUAUCUACCCAUACAAGAUAAAGAAGAUAAUCGAAUUAAUUUUUAGUUAUUACCACCAGAAAAGAAAGUCCACAAAUAAAAGUGAGGAAAAGCAAAUUUAGAUAGAAAUCGACUCUAAUUAAGGAGUCCCUGUCUAAUGCACGAAGUCGCACACAUCAUCGAAAUCACUAAGUACGUACUUCAGAGCUCGAAAUCUUGAAUCCUUUGCAGUCCCUUCUCAUUAUUUCUUUAAAUUCUCUUCUUGUUUGCAAAAGCAAAAAUAAUUUUUGACUUAAACAUUGGAGUUUCACCCGAUAACGAUUAUCACGCCCUUCACUGUUUUUGUCUCAUCACCCGCCAACACCAACUUUUACACUUCGUAAAUUGUGUCCAUCACUAGACUCUAUCAAUCUGAAUCAUGGCUACGUGACCAACAAAGAUGGGAAAUCUGAACGGUAGCCAAGAUAAUUCUGAGUGGGACAUGACUCACAUGCCGAUGGGCCCAGAUCUCGUAAUGUCAUGAGCCCACUUAAUCAACUCCCACGUGGAAACACCUGUCACAUAUCCUUUAAUCGGCAGAUCGCCUUUCUCGAUCACUAUUAUUUACAGUUUAUUUUCGUACAGCGUACGAGAUCAUUGCCUCUUGUUAUCAUUAUUAACGUAAACUUCAAUUACCUAAAAUCAUAAUCUUCAAUUUAUUCUAAAAAUAUGAAUACUUUAAAUUUUUAUUCAAAUAAUGCAACCAAUUUUCAUGUAAACUGACAUUAAUCAAGAGGGUAAGGAUUUUGCACAGUUUUUAUUCAUUAUUUUUCCCUAAAAAAGAAGACCAUUUGUUGCAGUAAAUGGCACAAAAAAAAAUUAAAUUAGUUUUUAAACUAACAAAUAAAUCAAACCAAAUAGUCAAAACUCAAAAGACCAACGUUAAAGACAAAUCAUGAAGUUGAAAGUUCAGAAUAUCCUAAAAGCUCAUGCAAUAGAAAAUCUGCAUUUAUUUUCAAAUUUUUAUACUAAUAUAUUCUUAAUAUAUGUCUCUAACGUGAUCCUAAUACGGUGCCACUGCCCCCAAAAAAAGAUCCUAAUAUAUAAUACAAUUUAUACAUUGAAAAAAAAUUAAAAAAAGAAACAAAAAUGAUGGGCAGACAAUAAAUGAAAGAGACUAGACAUAAAACUGUUAUCUCUUUGUCAUUAAUUAUUGCAAAUACUAAAAUUAUGUCUGCCUCAAAUUUCGGGCAAAAGAAAGUCCCAGAGUAUACCCGAAAUAUGGUUUUCCUCAUUUACAUUUAUAACUUAGAAGCAACAGAAGUAAAGCAAAAAUAUAGCAGUGGUCUCAUAUAAUUGACUUUGCAUGUCACUUAUUUUUUAUUAUUUUAUUGGUUGUCAGUAAUAUAACGUAGAGGUUAUCUCAAAAUAUUUAUUUGUUUCUUUAUAUAAUAAUUAGGUGUACCUUUUACUCAAUUAUGUAAUAAUAAAAAUACAAACAAUGAAUAAUCAACUAACAUGAAAGUAUACACCGAAAGCAUGGAAGACUUUUUAUUUGAGCUAUGAUGUAAUUAGUAAUAUUAAUUAUUAAUAUAUCCCAUAAUUUACAGGGUAGACUCACAUGACUGGCACCUAUUAAAUUACCUGCAAUAUCAUUAAUGCAGUUGAACUAUUAAAUCCAAUUCUAAGGUGAGGCUUUUACAUUAUGAUGAUUAUAUUCUUUAAGUACGAAAUUAUACUCCAACCACCUUAAAAAUGUCAAAAGUGUAAGUAAUUACCGUGAGUUUUUAAUAAUAUUUUAAAUCCACUUUAAGUUUUAAUUUUCUAUCAACCAGUCACUUUUUUUUUAACUUUAUUAGUUACUGUUAAAGAAUUUAAGUUAAAAGAAUUUUUUCCCUUAAAUUCAUUGAAAAGGGUAAAACAACAUUUUGGAAGGCUCCAAAGACAAGAUAGCCUUUUAUAUUAAAUUAUUUAAUGGCUAAUAGAGUUAACAAAAAAAUAAUUAGUUGAUGUAAAACUAAAACUUAAGGUGGUUAUAAGAUACUGUCAGAAACUUGUGGUAUCCACUUGCACUUUCAAUAAUUUUUUUAGAUGUUUGGGAAUAAUAUCUCUUUUGAAAUUGAUUCUUUCCAUUUAUGACUAUAAUUUGAUCUUCAAUUCAUUCUAUUUCUCCAAUAUAUUCAUUUAAAAAAAAUGAAACUAUUUGAAUAUACAUUUAUUACUUUAAGUGACCGUUGGUGCAAAACACCAUGCACAAUAAAUCCUCUCUCUAGUCAUAAUAUUGGUACCAACUAUUUUUAUUAUUAUGUGGAGAUUAUAACUUAAUAGCUGUGUAGUUACAAAAAUUAUUGGUUUCACCUGGCUAUCUUUUUUUUCNN
rnacentral:lncRNA from 1 species